rnacentral:rRNA from 1 species
GAUGAACGCUGGCGGCGUGCUUAACACAUGCAAGUCGAACGAUGAAGCUCAGCUUGCUGGGUGGAUUAGUGGCGAACGGGUGAGUAACACGUGAGUAACCUGCCCUUAACUCUGGGAUAAGCCUGGGAAACUAGGCCUAAUACCGGAUAGGAGCGCCUACCGCAUGGUGGGUGUUGGAAAGAUUUAUCGGUUUUGGAUGGACUCGCGGCCUAUCAGCUUGUUGGUGAGGUAAUGGCUCACCAAGGCGACGACGGGUAGCCGGCCUGAGAGGGUGACCGGCCACACUGGGACUGAGACACGGCCCAGACUCCUACGGGAGGCAGCAGUGGGGAAUAUUGCACAAUGGGCGAAAGCCUGAUGCAGCGACGCCGCGUGAGGGAUGACGGCCUUCGGGUUGUAAACCUCUUUCAGUAGGGAAGAAGCGAAAGUGACGGUACCUGCAGAAGAAGCACCGGCUAACUACGUG